rnacentral:rRNA from 1 species
UACGUAGGGGGCAAGCGUUGUCCGGAAUCAUUGGGCGUAAAGAGCGCGUAGGCGGCCCAGUAAGUCCGCUCUGAAAGUCAGAGGCUCAACCUCUGAAUGCGGGUGGAUACUGCUGGGCUAGAGUCCGGAAGAGGCGAGUGGAAUUCCUGGUGUAGCGGUGAAAUGCGCAGAUAUCAGGAGGAACACCGGUGGCGAAGGCGGAUCUCUGGGCCAUUACUGACGCUGAGGAGCGAAAGCGUGGGGAGCGAACAGG